rnacentral:rRNA from 1 species
GGGGAGGCUUACUGCAGUCGAACGGGACCCCUAGAAGGAGUUUUCGGAAACUGAUAGGACUGUUUAGUGGCGGACGGGUGAGUAACGCGUGAGCAAUCUGCCUUGGAGUGGGGAAUAACGGCUGGAAACAGCCGCUAAUACCGCAUGAUACAGCUGGGAGGCAUCUCCCUGGCUGUCAAAGAUUUAUCGCUCUGAGAUGAGCUCGCGUCUGAUUAGCUAGUUGGCGGGGUAACGGCCCACCAAGGCGACGAUCAGUAGCCGGACUGAGAGGUUGGCCGGCCACAUUGGGGCUGAGACACGGCCCAGACUCCUACGGGAGGCAGCAGUGGGGAAUAUUGGGCAAUGGGCGCAAGCCUGACCCAGCAACGCCGCGUGAAGGAAGAAGGCUUUCGGGUUGUAAACUUCUUUUGUCAGGGACGAAGCAGGUGACGGUACCUGACGAAUAAGCCACGGCUAACUACGUGCCAGCAGCCGCGGUAAUACGUAGGUGGCAAGCGUUAUCCGGAUUUAUUGGGUGUAAAGGGCGUGUAGGCGGGAAUGCAAGUCAGAUGUGAAAACUAUGGGCUCAACCCAUAGCCUGCAUUUGAAACUGUAUUUCUUGAGUGCUGGAGAGGCAAUCGGAGUUCCGUGUGUAGCGGUGAAAUGCGUAGAUAUACGGAGGAACACCAGUGGCGAAGGCGGAUUGCUGGACAGUAACUGACGCUGAGGCGCGAAAGCGUGGGGAGCAAACAGGAUUAGAUACCCUGGUAG